UCUUAUAGAAAGUGAAAUGUCAAAGGCUGGCGUUUGGAAACAGUAAUGCCAAGCAGAGUUCCAGCCAGAACCUGCGUGUUUUCAAUGAGGAGUCCAGUAGAAACUGCAAACGAAAACGAGGACUUGCGCCUGGCAGUGUCCUCGGCCCUGCGGCUGCUGGCGGAGCAGGCAGCUGCUUGCCCGUAAGCUGGGACUUGUGCUGAGACUUUUAGAUGCGUGCAGCUCUGCAGGGUUGGCUUCUUUACCCUCUUGGAGUAGAAUGUGGGUGUGUCUUUUAAGGGAGUUGGGUGUCACCUCACCUGGUAGAGGUGUGCCCACUUCCUCCUUAGCCUUCCCCAGCUCCCUCGGCCACUGGCUCCUCGUCCUGCACCACCAUUCCGCUCCGGAGGGCUACCCUCUGCCCAGCUGGUAUUUCUCAGUGAAAAGUCACAGCCCUAGUUGCAGCCUUACUGUGAAGCCUCAUUAAAUCCUGCCAUUUUAUAAUGAUUAGGUCAUGGAAGGAAGUUUUUGUUUCCCAAACACAGGCUUAGGCCUCACUCAGCUCAGAGUGCCUCUGCCCUCUCUUUAGGCCUGGACACUCAGUCCAGCCUCCUGUCACUGCUCCCCUUCUUCCCCCACUGUGGGCUCCUGUCCCCCUGGGCAGUGUCCCAACUGUGCAGACUUCCCAAAUUCUUCCUUGGUCCCCAUCCCCAUCUAAGGAAGCACUAGUGAGACACUGUCCCAUGACCCCCUGCCUCCUGACCCCUUACUGUUCUCCAGGCAAAGCCAAAGGACCCCAUGGGCUAACUUCCAGAAAAAUGUUGCUUCAGCUACUGGUGAAACAGCCACAUGUCCUACAAAGAGGCCAAGGUCUAGAAAGAAAGAGAUGGAGCUUCCGUGACACUGAAUCAAGGGGCUUUUCCCCAGCCCCCCAAAUGUAUGAAAACAGCCAAACCAUGACAUUGGCACAUCACCAAGCUCAGGAAUUAUUCGUUAGCUCACUGCUACCUCACACUCAGAAGGUCAGAUAAGAAAGAUCAGAUGGGACAGGGCUCAUGUCCAUCUCCCUGGCGACAAGAGGCUGAGGCCUCAGGUCAGAUGGCAGGCGCAAGGCCACACGACCCACAAGCUGGGAAUUGCACUCAGAGUUGGGACUCAGCAGAAGAAGAAAAGGAUGUUUAUCGAGUGCCAACAGAAUGCUGAGCAGCACGAGAUACACAAAGGUGACCCAGGCCUACAAAGCCUGGGACGAGGGGAUGGGACAGAGGAGGGAAGGGCAGGGGAGCCAGAUGUAACUGUGGCACCCAUGCCAGUGGUCAGGGGAAGAGGCAGCUGCUGGGCACAGAGGCAACAUGAAUGGAGAUCCCGGACGGGGCACAGGGGAAUUGGCGCUGUGCUGGGUCUCAAAAUCUGAAGCUGAUCUGGAGAACCAGAGGAAGGGGGAGGCACUCUUGGGACAAACUGCAUGUCCCUUUGUGGGGAUCGACAGGCCUUAGUCAGUUAAAGCAGUGACUGAGUGACCACCCCCUCCUACAGUUCAUGGCUUACGUUAAAAGCCCAUAUGAAUUUAACACUUGAAUCUUUGUCCUAUUUAAUGAGGACUUAAUGAGGCUUCACAGUAAGGCUGCAAAUGUUUUUCCAAAGACCUCGCAGAGGCAACUCUGACACUCGAUCAAACACACCAAAUGUUAGAAAGCUUGGGCCGAGAGCACCUCUAGAGAGAGAGGGGACCAGGGUCCAGGCGUUAGGACCUGGAAAACUGACCACACUGUGACUGACACAGGUGCCAGGGGCCUUGGCACCUCAUGUGCUUGUGUUGCUAAUGAGGAAAUUAAAAAAAUACAAAACAGAAAUACAGAAAAUACAGAAUAAAACAAAUUCAGAAGUCUUAGGCUCACACAUGCAUAAGCAAAAAGAGAACUUUCUCAGUGGUAUCUACGCUAGCAGCUGGGCGUGACUGAGACGCAGCUGCCGGCACGCUGCACUAACGUCACUUCACGUCACUUCACAGGUCGGCACCAGCAACGAAGGAGACCCCGAUGAUGCACACUUGGGGAGGCCACACUUGCAGCAAGGAACCGGACUAAGACUUAACACCGGCCGGUUUCUCAAAGCCUUGACCCAGAGCACAUCAAUUAUAAACAAGGAAAUGGACUUCUUGGAGGCACCAGACUCACCGAACAGGGCUAGACCCCAAACAGCACUAAACUGAUGCACCACCUG